rnacentral:lncRNA from 1 species
UGUGCCUGUGCUGCUGCAUGUGCUGCUCUGCGAGCUGCAAAAUCUCUCCUAGAAUUAUAAAAUUCAUUGCCUCUCCUAGUUAAACCCAUGUGGUGGAGGGUAGCCUCAGUAAGGGGGUGUACUCACUAGACAAAGGUAAGGCCGACUCGGUACCUGGGUCAACACCUAGGGCUCGGAGAAGAAGAGUAAGAUGACGACCAAAGGGGAGACAGCCUCGACUCAGCCUAAGGGAGUCUGCUAUAGAGUGAAUCAUAAUAUGUGGCAGGUUAAGGGCUCGACCCUCUAGCAGACAAGACAC